UACGUAGGGUGCAAGCGUUGUCCGGAAUUAUUGGGCGUAAAGAGCUCGUAGGCGGUUUGUCGCGUCUGCUGUGAAAACUCGGGGCUUAACCCCGGGCCUGCAGUGGGUACGGGCAGACUAGAGUGCGGUAGGGGAGACCGGAAUUCCUGGUGUAGCGGUGAAAUGCGCAGAUAUCAGGAGGAACACCGGUGGCGAAGGCGGGUCUCUGGGCCGUAACUGACGCUGAAACACGAAAGCGUGGGUAGCAAACAGG
rnacentral:rRNA from 1 species